UACGGGGGGAGCAAGCGUUGUUCGGAUUUACUGGGCGUAAAGGGCGCGUAGGCGGCCACCGCAAGUCAAUUGUGAAAUCUCCGGGCUUAACUCGGAAAGGUCAACUGAUACUGCGGGGCUAGAGUGCGGAAGGGGCAACUGGAAUUCUCGGUGUAGCGGUGAAAUGCGUAGAUAUCUGGAGGAAUACCGGUGGCGAAGGCGGCAUCCUGGACCGACAUUGACGCUGAGGAGCGAAAGCUAGGGGAGCAAACGGG
rnacentral:rRNA from 1 species